rnacentral:lncRNA from 1 species
CAGCCCAAACCUAUCCUGCCCCUUGGCCGCAGCCCCACAAUCCUGCCGGCCAGCGCUGCCGCAAGCUGGUUGCUGCUCCUCCCCUGGUUGCUGGCUUGCUGCUGCUGCUCCCCUGUACCUAUUGCUUAACUCAUGUCGACUAGUCGACCAUAAGUCUAGACUAGUAACAACUAGUCAAGAGUCACUACCCAGAACGACAGUCGACUCGAAAACAUUGGUUCUCCCCCAAGGUCAUGUACAUAGUUCGUAGUCUCUCUGGCAUGGN